GCAUCCUGUUUCCCCAUUGGCCCUGGUCAACAAGGAGUGCACUAUAAAGGGGAUCAGGGUGCCAUUUUGGAGGCGGAAGCCAGUGACUGAAAGAUGAAGUCUGAAUAUCUGGAUUCUAAAGUGGGUUUUUAAAAAGCCAAAGCAGGUGGUCCAAAAGCCAACUCAGGAAGAAGGAGAAGAAGAAGAGGAGGAAGAGGAGGAGUCUGGAGAGGAGGAUUAAAGAACAACAAUCAUUUGACCUCUACUUCCUUGUAACAGUUCUUCCUCCUGGGGAACCACUGCCUUCACCACUUACUAAGGACGUUGAUCCGUGACCUCUGACCUCUGUCUACUCUCAUAUCAUACUGUUUUCAUUUGAUACUUCUAUUUGUGUUUAUUUCAUUUUUUUAUUUUUAUUUGUUUAUUUGUUUGUUGUUGAUUCUGAGACGAACACACGUUGAUAAUCAUCAGAAUAUGAGCCGCAAAAAAAAAAAACACGAGAGAAAACACUAAAUAUGACAAACAAAGAGCCGCUGUACCUCUUUACAACAACAGUGAUGUUUUAUCUGUUGUCGAGACAAGAGGUUCUGUGGGGGUUUUGUACCAUUGCAGUUUCUACUCCUCUCCUCCCCCUGUCGUUGUCGACUGAUUCUCCUGUCUUUCUUUAAGGGAGAGAUAGAAACUAGGGGGGGGGGAGUCUGUUAAUGUCAUUCACAAAUUGCGACCAUAUGGCUGCUGUUUCAGUACAACAGAGGUCUAGAACA